GCGGAUGCACAGGAGCUUGCUCCUGAAUUCAGCGGCGGACGGGUGAGUAAUGCCUAGGAAUCUGCCUGGUAGUGGGGGACAACGUUUCGAAAGGAACGCUAAUACCGCAUACGUCCUACGGGAGAAAGCAGGGGACCUUCGGGCCUUGCGCUAUCAGAUGAGCCUAGGUCGGAUUAGCUAGUUGGUGAGGUAAUGGCUCACCAAGGCGACGAUCCGUAACUGGUCUGAGAGGAUGAUCAGUCACACUGGAACUGAGACACGGUCCAGACUCCUACGGGAGGCAGCAGUGGGGAAUAUUGGACAAUGGGCGAAAGCCUGAUCCAGCCAUGCCGCGUGUGUGAAGAAGGUCUUCGGAUUGUAAAGCACUUUAAGUUGGGAGGAAGGGCAGUAACUUAAUACGUUGCUGUUUUGACGUUACCGACAGAAUAAGCACCGGCUAACUCUGUGCCAGCAGCCGCGGUAAUACAGAGGGUGCAAGCGUUAAUCGGAAUUACU
rnacentral:rRNA from 1 species